CCAUGGGCUGUGAGUCACCCCAGGGCCCGUCACACUCAGAGCGGGCACUAAGCCACACGCUCUGCUCCCCUUGGCGGGCAUCGCUACUGACACUGCCUAACUGCACAGUCACUCUUUGCUUGUCAAGACCCACCUGUCUCGGUACAAAAUAGAGACUGACAGUCGGGUGGGGGUGGAGGUUUAUCAGCGUGGAGGAAGAGAGGCGUUUUGCUGAGAGCUGGAGAGCAGGGGCAGAGGGUUCCAGAAACGAUGGGGAAGGAUUGGUAGAGGCUUGAACUCUGGAAUUGGGCUGCUGAGUGCUGCUCCGGACGCUGGCCCUUACUGACCUGGGGGACCACAGGCAGCCUGCUUUCACUUAUACUAAAAUAAGAGAUGAGCACCUGCUUCCUGGUGCCGCAGGUAGGAUGAGAGGACGACCAUGCGGUACUCAGCACGGGGCCUGGUCAGGAAGGAUUAAAAGCUGUGAUCAGCAUCACGUUUUUCUGGACUCUGAUUGGACGGGUCCCUGUUUGUGACUGCAUGGCUCCCACCAUGUUUUUCCAUGUGAUUUUCCUGCGAUGCCGGACCGUAAGUGCGUGGUCGGUUAGGGGGCCAAGACUGGACAGAGAAGGGAGAAGGUUUCACAAUGACCUUGGUCUCGAAAGUCGCAGUCCUCCCAGCCUUCUCAGAGCCUUGAAAAUUCCCUGCCUAUCUGGAAGCAGUAGGGCUAGUUGCAGAGCUGGAGGGGGUGUGUGGCUGAUUCAGUUUACAGAAAUACUUGAUGCACAGGUAUUUUCACAGGUUCUUCAUUUGCAAACUCAGGCCACAGAUCGGAAAUCUCGGCUUUUUAAUACGUCACCUCUCCUGGGGUCGUAUGCCUUGAAAACGAAUGGCUUAUUGUCUAAGAGUGAGUUUUCAGGAUGAUAUAUAUAUAUUUUUUAAAUUCUAGUGUUGUGAUUUUAGGGAGAUUAUAAAUGAUCUUUUGGCUCCUCUGAUGGCUCAGAUGGUAAAGAAUCUACCUGCUAAUGAAGGAGACCUGGGUUUGAUCCCUGGGUUGGGAAGAUCCUCUGGAGAAGGGAAUGGCUACCCACUCCAGUAUUCUUGCCUGGAGAAUCCCAUGGACAGAGGAGCCUGGCAGGCUACAGUCCAUGGGGUCGCAAAGAAUCAGGCAUGGCUGAAUGACUAACAUGUUCUUUCUUUCCUAGUCUGGACCAGUUGAGAAUUAGAACCUCACAGUUGGACAGGUGGAGCCAGCUAUUAGCAUUGUUUAGCCUCAAAGCAAGACUGCAGGGCAGGUGUGACCUAUGGCCAUGGGGGAGCCUCUGCUGUCUCACCCUGAGCCACACUUGCCCAUGUGGUUCCAGGCUGGAGGCAGCCGCGCCCUCGUCUAGAGCCAGACCAGCCCCCCUCCCGGCAUUUCCACCUCAGGAAGCAGCACAGCUGAGUCCUCAGAUACUCAAGCUGAAAACCUUUGACUCUCCCUGACUCCCUUUUCCCCAUCUCACAUCUAAUGUCUUGUUCACAGGCAAUGUUGUUUUUAUUAUAUAAAAUAUUUUAACAUUUUAUCAUAUAAAUC
ensembl:lncRNA